rnacentral:misc_RNA from 1 species
GAAAUGCGAUAAGUAGUGUGAAUUGCAGAAUUCAGUGAAUCAUCGAAUCUUUGAACGCACAUUGCGCCCCUUGGUAUUCCAUGGGGCAUGCCUGUUCGAGCGUCAUUUGUACCCUCAAGCUUUGCUUGGUGUUGGGUGUUUGUCUUGCUGUUCUUCACAGGGAGACUCGCCUCAAAACAAUUGGCAGCCGGCCUAUAGGUUUUCGGAGCGCAGCACAAGUCGCGCUUCUGGCCUUGCGUGUCGGCGUCCAUGAAGGCUCUACAUUUCACUUUUGACCUCGGAUCAGGUAGGGAUACCCGCUGAACUUAA